rnacentral:rRNA from 1 species
GAUGAACGCUGGCGGCGUGCCUAAUACAUGCAAGUCGAGCGAACGGACGAGAAGCUUGCUUCUCUGAUGUUAGCGGCGGACGGGUGAGUAACACGUGGAUAACCUACCUAUAAGACUGGGAUAACUUCGGGAAACCGGCUCUAAUACCGGAUAAUAUUUUGAACCGCAUGGUUCAAAAGUGAAAGACGGUCUUGCUGUCACUUAUAGAUGGAUCCGCGCUGCAUUAGCUAGUUGGUAAGGUAACGGCUUACCAAGGCAACGAUGCAUAGCCGACCUGAGAGGGUGAUCGGCCACACUGGAACUGAGACACGGUCCAGACUCCUACGGGAGGCAGCAGUAGGGAAUCUUCCGCAAUGGGCGAAAGCCUGACGGAGCAACGCCGCGUGAGUGAUGAAGGUCUUCGGAUCGUAAAACUCUGUUAUUAGGGAAGAACAUAUGUGUAAGUAACUGUGCACAUCUUGACGGUACCUAAUCAGAAAGCCACGGCUAACUACGUG